GAUGAACGCUGGCGGCGUGCCUAAUACAUGCAAGUCGAGCGAACGGACGAGAAGCUUGCUUUUCUGAUGUUAGCGGCGGACGGGUGAGUAACACGUGGAUAACCUACCUAUAAGACUGGGAUAACUUCGGGAAACCGGAGCUAAUACCGGAUAAUAUUUUGAACCGCAUGGUUCAAAAGUGAAAGACGGUCUUGCUGUCACUUAUAGAUGGAUCCGCGCUGCAUUAGCUAGUUGGUAAGGUAACGGCUUACCAAGGCAACGAUGCAUAGCCGACCUGAGAGGGUGAUCGGCCACACUGGAACUGAGACACGGUCCAGACUCCUACGGGAGGCAGCAGUAGGGAAUCUUCCGCAAUGGGCGAAAGCCUGACGGAGCAACGCCGCGUGAGUGAUGAAGGUCUUCGGAUCGUAAAACUCUGUUAUUAGGGAAGAACAUAUGUGUAAGUAACUGUGCACAUCUCGACGGUACCUAAUCAGAAAGCCACGGCUAGCUACGUG
rnacentral:rRNA from 1 species